AGGACGAACGCUGGCGGCGUGCUUAACACAUGCAAGUCGAGCGGAAAGGCCCUUCGGGGUACUCGAGCGGCGAACGGGUGAGUAACACGUGAGCAAUCUGCCCUUAGCUCUGGGAUAGCUCCGGGAAACCGGGAUUAAUACCAGAUAUGACCACGGCCGACAUCAGCUGUGGUGGAAAGAAUUUCGGCUAGGGAUGAGCUCGCGGCCUAUCAGCUUGUUGGUGGGGUAAAGGCCUACCAAGGCGACGACGGGUAGCCGGCCUGAGAGGGCGACCGGCCACACUGGGACUGAGACACGGCCCAGACUCCUACGGGAGGCAGCAGUGGGGAAUAUUGCGCAAUGGGCGAAAGCCUGACGCAGCGACGCCGCGUGCGGGAUGAAGGCCUUCGGGUUGUAAACCGCUUUCAGCAGGGACGAAGCGAAAGUGACGGUACCUGCAGAAGAAGCGCCGGCUAACGUACGUGCCAGCAGCCGC
rnacentral:rRNA from 1 species